UUGUGUUCUUUGUGUCUGUCAACUCCUUUAUAGUUUUAUAUGUUCUUUUCUAUUGAUGUCAUCUUGGGCUUGAGAUUGGAUAAAAGUUGUAAGAAAAUAUUAAUAAUCGAAGUUCUUCCAAAUAAU